rnacentral:rRNA from 1 species
AUGCAUUGGCUUUCCUGGGACAAACUCACGGUUCCCAAAUGUAAAGGCGGGAUGGGUUUCCGCAAUUUUAGAAAUUUCAAUUUGGCAAUGCUUGGGAAGCAUGGGUGGAGACUGCUAAUUGCGCAUGCUUCCUUGUGUGCCAGAGUUCUUAAAGGAAGGUACUUUCCAGAUUGUGGAUUCAUGCAGGCUACUACUCCUGCGAGUUCCUCAUCUACUUGGCGUUCUAUCAUCGCUGGGAGAGAUGCACUGAAUUUGGGUCUGAUACAUAGAGUCGGUGAUGGCCCUAGCAUUUCAGUUUGGGAGGACAAGUGGAUUCCGGGUACAUUGACUAUGAAACUUUGCUAA